AAGCGUUUAUGACCAGACUUUUUCCUGGCGGAUCAUCCGGUGUUCUCACCGGUGCACUUCGCCAGGUCGAGGCCAGCAUCGGUUUCCGUAGGGGGAUAAAAGCUUUAGGAAUGUGACUCCUCGGAGUGUUAUAGCCUAUUGCAUAAUAC
rnacentral:rRNA from 1 species